rnacentral:rRNA from 1 species
CCUACGGGGGGCAGCAGUGGGGAAUAUUGCACAAUGGGCGAAAGCCUGAUGCAGCAACGCCGCGUGAAGGAAGACGGUUUUCGGAUUGUAAACUUCUGUUCUUAGUGAAGAAUAAUGCCGGUAACUAAGGAGCAAGCCACGGCUAACUACGUGCCAGCAGCCGCGGUAAUACGUAGGUGGCAAGCGUUGUCCGGAAUUACUGGGUGUAAAGGGAGCGUAGGCGGGAAGCCAAGUCAGCUGUGAAAACUACGGGCUUAACCUGGAGACUGCAGUUGAAACUGGCUUUCUUGAGUGAAGUAGAGGUUAGCGGAAGUCCGAGUGUAGCGGUGAAAUGCGUAGAUAUUAGGAGGAACACCGGUGGCGAAGGCGGACAACUGGGCUUUAACUGACGCUGAGGCGCGAAAGUGUGGGGAGCAAACAGGAUUAGAUACCCUUGUAGUC